rnacentral:rRNA from 1 species
GAUGAACGCUGGCGGCGUGCCUAAUACAUGCAAGUCGAGCGAACGGACGAGAAGCUUGCUUUUCUGAUGUUAGCGGCGGACGGGUGCGUAACACGUGGAUAACCUACCUAUAAGACUGGGAUAACUUCGGGAAACCGGAGCUAAUACCGGAUAAUAUUUUGAACCGCAUGGUUCAAAAGUGAAAGACGGUCUUGCUGUCACUUAUAGAUGGAUCCGCGCUGCAUUAGCUAGCUGGUAAGGUAACGGCUUACCAAGGCAACGAUGCAUAGCCGACCUGAGAGGGUGAUCGGCCACACUGGAACUGAGACACGGUCCAGACUCCUACGGGAGGCAGCAGUAGGGAAUCUUCCGCAAUGGGCGAAAGCCUGACGGAGCAACGCCGCGUGAGUGAUGAAGGUCUUCGGAUCGUAAAACUCUGUUAUUAGUGAAGAACAUAUGUGUAAGUAACUGUGCACAUCUUGACGGUACCUAAUCAGAAAGCCACGGCUAACUACGUG